AGCGAACGCUGGCGGCAGGCCUAACACAUGCAAGUCGAACGAAGUCUUCGGACUUAGUGGCGGACGGGUGAGUAACACGUGGGAACGUACCUUUUGGUUCGGAACAACUCAGGGAAACUUGAGCUAAUACCGGAUGAGCCCUUAGGGGGAAAGAUUUAUCGCCGAAAGAGCGGCCCGCGUUAGAUUAGCUAGUUGGUGAGGUAAAGGCUCACCAAGGCUACGAUCUAUAGCUGGUCUGAGAGGAUGAUCAGCCACACUGGGACUGAGACACGGCCCAGACCCCUACGGGAGGCAGCAGUGGGGAAUCUUGCGCAAUGGGCGAAAGCCUGACGCAGCCAUGCCGCGUGAAUGAUGAAGGUCUUAGGAUUGUAAAAUUCUUUUACCAGGGACGAUAAUGACGGUACCUGGAGAAAAAGCCCCGGCUAACUUCGUGCCAGCAGCCGCCGUAACAC
rnacentral:rRNA from 1 species